GGGCCCGCACAAGCGGUGGAGCAUGUGGUUUAAUUCGAUGAUACGCGAGGAACCUUACCAGGGCUUAAAUGUAGUCUGACAGGGGUGGAAACACCCCUCCUUCGGCAGAUUACAAGGUGCUGCAUGGUUGUCGUCAGCUCGUGCCGUGAGGUGUCAGGUUAAGUCCUAUAACGAGCGCAACCCCUGCCGUUAGUUGCCAGCAUGUAAUGAUGGGAACUCUAACGGGACUGCCGGUGCAAACCGCGAGGAAGGUGGGGAUGACGUCAAAUCAUCACGGCCCUUACGUCCUGGCUACACACGUGCUACAAUGGUCGGUACAGAGGGCAGCUACCGGGUGACCGGAUGCG
rnacentral:rRNA from 1 species